UACAGAGGGUGCAAGCGUUGUUCGGAAUUAUUGGGCGUAAAGGGCGCGUAGGCGGCUGGACAAGUCGAAUGUGAAAGCCCAGGGCUUAACCUUGGAAGUGCAUUUGAAACUGUCUAGCUUGAGUCUCGGAGAGGGUCGUGGAAUUCCCAGUGUAGAGGUGAAAUUCGUAGAUAUUGGGAGGAACACCAGUGGCGAAGGCGACCGGCUGGCCGAAGACUGACGCUGAGGCGCGAGAGCGCGGGGAGCAAACAGG
rnacentral:rRNA from 1 species